UUUGAAUUACCAUAAAAGGUUUUAGAUGACUAACACAACUUAUGUUUGUUUUUAUGGACUCAUAUGUAUGCACUGUAGAUUAGCUUACAUUGUAAAGCGCCACUAUCUUCAAUUUCAGGUUUAUGAAGGUGUUGUCUACAUGCAUCAGGUGUCAAUUACCGUGUUGAGGACUUUGACUUGUCAAUUAUCAUCAAGGACAGCCUAGGCCAGUGCCCAUGCGAGCCAGAUCAGAGAGGAUGAGAAUUGAUUUUCUGAGUGGUUAGCGAGCCAUUAGCAUCACUCAUGGCACCUCUCAUGCAUAGAUGCUCUUGAUGCUUCUCUCUGUUAUUUUGAUAUGUCUACGCUCUCCUGGCUGCCGCUGCGCUCACGAGGCUCGAGCCCGGGCGGGAGCAAGCUUGGACCCGUCGCCGUCUUCUUCGACUUGUCCCC